AUUGAACGCUGGCGGCAUGCCUUACACAUGCAAGUCGAACGGUAACGCGGGGCAACCUGGCGACGAGUGGCGAACGGGUGAGUAAUGCAUCGGAACGUGCCCAGUAGUGGGGGAUAGCCCGGCGAAAGCCGGAUUAAUACCGCAUACGACCUACGGGUGAAAGGGGGGGAUCGCAAGACCUCUCGCCAUUGGAGCGGCCGAUGUCAGAUUAGGUAGUUGGUGGGGUAAAGGCCUACCAAGCCGACGAUCUGUAGCUGGUCUGAGAGGACGACCAGCCACACUGGGACUGAGACACGGCCCAGACUCCUACGGGAGGCAGCAGUGGGGAAUUUUGGACAAUGGGCGCAAGCCUGAUCCAGCCAUGCCGCGUGCGGGAAGAAGGCCUUCGGGUUGUAAACCGCUUUUGUCAGGGAAGAAACGCGCUGAGCUAAUACCUCGGCGUAAUGACGGUACCUGAAGAAUAAGCACCGGCUAACUUCGUGCCAGCCGCCGCCGUAAAAC
rnacentral:rRNA from 1 species